rnacentral:rRNA from 1 species
UACAGAGACUGCAAGCGUUAUUCGGAUUCACUGGGCGUAAAGGGUGCGCAGGCGGUUGUGUGCGGCAGGGGUGAAAGCCCGGGGCUUAACCCCGGAAUUGCGCCUGAAACUACAUGACUAGAGCAUUGGAGAGGGUAGCGGAAUUCCCGGUGUAGCGGUGAAAUGCGCAGAUAUCGGGAGGAACACCGGUGGCGAAGGCGGUUCUCUGGGCCUGUACUGACGCUGAGGAGCGAAAGCGUGGGGAGCGAACAGG